UACGUAGGGUGCGAGCGUUGUCCGGAAUUACUGGGCGUAAAGAGCUCGUAGGUGGUUUGUCGCGUUGUUCCGUGAAAACUCACAGCUCAACUGUGGGCGUGCGGGCGAUACGGGGCAGACUGGGAGUACUGCAGGGGAGACUGGAAUUCCUGGUGUAGCGGUGGAAUGCGCAGAUAGUCAGGAGGAACACCGGUGGCGAAGGCGGGACUCUGGGGCAGUAACUGAC
rnacentral:rRNA from 1 species